AUUUAUAUAGUUUAAAAAACGUUACAUUUUCAUUGUAAAAUUAAAAUAUUUUUAUUUUUAUAAAUU
rnacentral:tRNA from 1 species